ACGAACGCUGGCGGCAUGCCUAACACAUGCACGUCGAACGAGACCUUCGGGUCUAGUGGCGCACGGGUGCGUAACGCGUGGGAACCUGCCCUUAGGUUCGGAAUAACACCCCGAAAGGGGUGCUAAUACCGGAUAAUGUCUUCGGACCAAAGAUUUAUCGCCUUUGGAUGGGCCCGCGUUGGAUUAGCUAGUUGGUAGGGUAAAAGCCUACCAAGGCGACGAUCCAUAGCUGGUCUGAGAGGAUGAUCAGCCACACUGGGACUGAGACACGGCCCAGACUCCUACGGGAGGCAGCAGUGGGGAAUAUUGGACAAUGGGCGAAAGCCUGAUCCAGCAAUGCCGCGUGAGUGAUGAAGGCCUUAGGGUUGUAAAGCUCUUUUACCCGGGAUGAUAAUGACAGUACCGGGAGAAUAAGCGCCGGCUAACUCCGUG
rnacentral:rRNA from 1 species